UACAGAGGUGGCAAGCGUUGUUCGGAAUUACUGGGCGUAAAGGGCGCGUAGGCGGUCCGAUAAGUCCUGUGUGAAAUCCCUCGGCUCAACUGAGGAACUGCACGGGAGACUGUCGGGCUUGAGUUCGGGAGAGGGAAGCGGAAUUCCAGGUGUAGCGGUGAAAUGCGUAGAUAUCUGGAGGAACACCGGUGGCGAAGGCGGCAUCCUGGACCAACACUGACGCUGAGGAGCGAAAGCCAGGGGAGCAAACGGG
rnacentral:rRNA from 1 species